AGAACGAACGCUGGCGGCAUGCCUAACACAUGCAAGUCGAGCGAGAGCCAGCUGAGGGGUAACCCUCGGCUGGGGACAGCGGCGAACGGGCGCGUAACACGUGGGCAACCUGCCCCUGACACUGGGAUAACCCCGGGAAACCGGAGCUAAUACCGGAUACUCUCGGCCGAUCACAUGGCUGGCCGAGGAAAGGUCCGCCGGUCAGGGAUGGGCCCGCGGCCUAUCAGCUUGUUGGUGGGUAACGGCCUACCAAGGCGACGACGGGUAGCUGGUCUGAGAGGACGACCGGCCACACUGGAACUGAGAUACGGUCCAGACUCCUACGGGAGGCAGCAGUGGGGAAUAUUGCACAAUGGGCGAAAGCCUGAUGCAGCGACGCCGCGUGAGGGAUGAAGGCCUUCGGGUCGUAAACCUCUUUCGGCAGGGACGAAGCGAUCAGUGACGGUACCUGCAGAAGAAGCCCCGGCUAACUACGUGCCAGCAGCCGC
rnacentral:rRNA from 1 species